rnacentral:rRNA from 1 species
UUUAAACGUAAAUUAUAAAACUUAAUUAUUAAUAGUUAUGUUCUUUAAAUUUAAAGAAUUUGGCGGUAUUUUAGUCUAUUUAGAGGAACCUGUUCUAUAAUUGAUAGUCCACAAUUUAUUUUACUUAUUUUAUUAGUUUGUAUAUCGUCGUAGGUUGAAUAUUUUAAAAGAAUUUAAAUAUUCAAUAUUUAAAAUAAUAAUAGAAAUCAGAUCAAGGUGCAGUUUAUAAAUAAGAAGAGAUGGGUUACAAUAAAAAUAUUUAUAUGGUUUAUAAUUUGAAAAAUUAUUAUUAAAGUGGAUUUAAAAGUAAUAAAAUUAAAUUAAAUUUUAUGAUUUUAGCUCUAAAAUAUGU